rnacentral:lncRNA from 1 species
UAAAACAGAGCAAGGAAAGAAGCAAUCAAAAUUAAGCACAUGAACUGCACAUCGCUCGCGUGCAUCGUCCCGAACAGGCGUGCUGCCGGUGCCGACCAGCCGCUAGCUCCUGAUCUGUGCUGCUGCCCACAGGAUUCAACACGAUCUGCAGGCCUUGAAUGCCCAAAUCGACGCCAAGCGAGGACCCGAUCCGUACGGUAACCCCACGAGAAACCGCCAUUAACAUUGCUGGCCCGAUUAAAUCAAAUCGCCGGGAAGAUCCAGAUCCGUACGCGGCGGCCAGCUCGCAUUAUUAACACAACAAGUGGCGGCCGAUAGAAGCUACCGAUCUCGGUUGUCUGUCCCUUGAAGCGCAAACAAGAGAUCCAAUCAUCCUAUGGAGCGAUUCCGUUGCUGUUGCUGUUGACGACUUGACGUUGCCCCCCACCGACGCAAUCGUAUCGCCGCUGGAAAAACAAACCAUACUACUCCGGGUUGGAGUAGUACGUCCUCUCAUGAUGCGGAAUACCUGCAGGUGCCGUGCCCUCCGCCGCCAGUUAUGCGAUUCCAAAUCCCCAUGUCCGUUCUCGCCACUCGUUGCCGCACGCCGAGCUGCCUGCCUGUUGCAGCAACUCCAAU